rnacentral:rRNA from 1 species
UACGUAGGGGGCAAGCGUUGUCCGGAUUUAUUGGGCGUAAAGAGCGUGUAGGCGGCCAGGUAGGUCAGCUGUGAAAACUCGAGGCUCAACCUCGAGACGCCGGUUGAAACCAUCUGGCUAGAGUCCGGAAGAGGAGAGUGGAAUUCCUGGUGUAGCGGUGAAAUGCGCAGAUAUCAGGAAGAACACCCGUGGCUAAGGCGGCUCUCUAGUACGGUACUGACGCUGAGGAGCGAAAGCGUGGGGAGCGAUCCGG